GUGGGGUAACGGCCUACCAAGGCGAUGACGGGUAGCGGGUCUGAGAGGAUGAUCCGUCACACUGGGACUGAGACACCGCCCAGACUCCUACGGGAGGCUGCAGUCGAGAAUCUUCCGCAAUGGGCGAAAGCCUGACGGAGCGACACCGCGUGCAGGAUGAAGGCCUUCGGGUUGUAAACUGCUGUCACGCUAUAGGAGACCACGGGGGUGAAUAGUCUCCGUGUUGACCAAAGCGAGAGGAAGUGCCGGCUAACUCCGUGCCAGCAGCCGCGGUAAGACGGAGGGCGCAAACGUUGUUCGGAAUCACUGGGCAUAAAGAGCACGUAGGCGGCUCGUUAAGUCGGAUGUGAAAGCCCCCGGCCCAACCGGGGAACUGCAUUCGAUACUGGCGGGCUAGAGGACGGUAGGGGUAAGUGGAACUCCAGGUGGAACGGUGAAAUGUGUAGAUAUCUGGAGGAACACCGGUGGCGAAAGCGGCUUACUGGACCGUAUCUGACGCUGAGGUGCGAAAGCUAGGGUAGCGAACGGGAUUAGAUACCCCGGUAGUCCUAGCCGUAAACGAUGGGCACUAGGCAAUGGGCCACCCUAUGGGGCUCAUUGCCGUAGCUAAUGUGUUAAGUG
rnacentral:rRNA from 1 species